AUGAAAUUGAAACUAGUGUCUUCGCCUCGGAUGGUGCGGGAAUUCUUUCAGAACAGGAAAUGCUGAUGACUGAGUUCUGAACAUGAAACAGCAAUUCGGCACACAGUCUUACUCGUUCGCAUUCGUCGGUUAAGUUCAAGAUCGCUUGGUGGGACGUGUCUCACAGACAGCUGUGCAGCAAUCCAAAUCUGAGUACCGUGUCUCAGGUGCCUCAAGCCGCAUACAUCUGACCUGGCCCUUAAACACCAGGAACUGGACCACAUCCGGUCAGACCGCUGACCUGGAGGCCGGGACUGACUGAGCAACACAAAAGCAGUAGGUCUCCAUUGCCCCCCGGAGGAGGCAACUAAAAACAUCCACGUAAACUCACAUUGAUGAGACGAUUAAAAACAAGGUCUGUGUUAUACCAACAUUGUACAGAUUUUACCUUCUUGUUUGUAAUGGCUUGUCAAAGUAAACUGAACUGGAUUACAUGUUAUCUUGACCCAUAGAUUCUUUUCAGGGCGAGGAGCCAUCGAACACGAAAUUUCAACAUGUAUCUGUUAAAAACAACACACAAAAAAACAGUUAUGUCAAUGUCAAAUAUUAACUGGACCACACGU